GUCUUGAUUUCUAAAUAGCUUACUUAAUUUUUUUAUAUCAUAAUAAAUAUCCUUAAUUAGUAAUUAUUUAAUUUUUUUCUCUACAAGCAAUCCACAGAAAAUUCUAUUUCACUCUAAUCGACAGUCCAAUUAAAUUUUCCAUUUUAAUUUCUAUUGCACUAUUUUCCAGACUGGCUUUAGUGAGAUUAAUUAACUUAAUUUAAUUCCACCAAAAGUUAAUUAACAGUGAUUUUAUUAUGAGUUAAAAUUACAAUUAUUGCUCAAUCAUUCAAUCAUAACAUAUUUUAUAUUCUGG